CAAUAGCCCUGAUGGAAAUGAAAAUCCCGAGCCCUUGCGAAGCGGGCGAGGAUUGUAAUGAACAGCAGGACCAAAA
rnacentral:sRNA from 1 species